rnacentral:rRNA from 1 species
GAUGAACGCUGGCGGCGUGCUUAACACAUGCAAGUCGAACGGAAAGGCCCAAGCUUGCUUGGGUACUCGAGUGGCGAACGGGUGAGUAACACGUGGGUGAUCUGCCCUGCACUUCGGGAUAAGCCUGGGAAACUGGGUCUAAUACCGGAUAGGACCACAUUUUGGAUGGUGUGGUGGAAAGUUUUUCGGUGUGGGAUGAGCUCGCGGCCUAUCAGCUUGUUGGUGGGGUAAUGGCCUACCAAGGCGUCGACGGGUAGCCGGCCUGAGAGGGUGUACGUCCACAUUGGGACUGAGAUACGGCCCAGACUCCUACGGGAGGCAGCAGUGGGGAAUAUUGCACAAUGGGCGCAAGCCUGAUGCAGCGACGCCACGUGGGGGAUGACGGCCUUCGGGUUGUAAACUCCUUUCGCUAGGGACGAAGCGUUAUGUGACGGUACCUGGAGAAGAAGCACCGGCUAACUACGUG